UCAUAAUAGAGUUUAAUUCUUCAUAAUCACCAAUCACAUAAGCAGUUCUAUGGCUAUGAGGAAAGCUUCAUACAAUUUGUUUUCCUUGGUGCUUGUCAUUCUUAUCUCAAUUGGUCUCUCUCUCUCUUUCUCCCUCUCCCACUCCCUCUCCCUCUCCAUCUCCCUCUUCAUCUCCAUCUCUCUCAUCUUUAAUAAACACACACUUGUUAUUUAUUUGUUUAUAUAUUCACAUAUAACCCACCUAAUGUAGAAAUCCCAUUUGGAAAUUACAAACCUUUUAUAACAAAUUGCAAAAUUAAUGUAAAGAGUAUAAUCACCACAUUUUCUUCAAAACCGUUUUACUUUAUUACUUCUAUGAUCGACGACAUUUCUUUAUGUGUGCACCUUUAGCCGAUUGAGAGGAUUUUAUAUAAAUUCUUUGUAGAGAAAGACGAACAGUAAAUAAGAAAGAGAACGAAGGUCGAAUCAAAAAGUAAUACAUAAUUAUCUCUUCUCGAAAACUGAUGCUUGUGUCACGUAGAUUGACUAACCAUAACUCACCCUUAAGCAGGCUUUCCUAUAAUUAGAUGUUUCACUGACGUGUUUUAUAAAUUUUUUGUUAUGUCGUUUCAUAAAUAAAAGUAUGAGUAAAACUGUGUUACUCAAAUAUUAUUCCUGUGUUGAUAGGUUUGCAAAGUGUGGAUGCUUGGGGCCCUCCAUGUAAAGUCAGCCAGGACUGUGUAACUUACUGUAAAGUCCCCAUUAGUAGAGGCACUCCACUAUGUCUUGGAGGACAUUGCACCUGUGAAGCAGUGGAAAACCAUAAAACUAUAGUAGCUCGAAAUUUUUUACAUGACUAGGAAUAGGGAUCUACUCUAUGAUUUUAUGUAAGAACAAUUAUAUUUAUAUUGGAUUAAUUUCUCUUCAA
rnacentral:lncRNA from 1 species